UAUCUAAUGUAUGUGUGUCUUUGUAA
rnacentral:piRNA from 1 species